rnacentral:lncRNA from 1 species
GAAAGAAUAGAAUAGAAUAAAGGUAAAGUACGAAAGUGUAGAAGGAGAGUUCAGUUUGGUCUGGGAUUAGAUGGCGAUGAGCUCUGGUUCAGAUAGUUCUGGAUGCGUGAGGUGUGGAGUGUACACGAAAGUAGUCUGUUCGUAUGGGACUACGGCAUGUAUAGAUGCGAGCAGAAAGGACUCAUAGUAUGUGAGUGUCCUACUGCGGCCCUGAUUGGCACAGUCCCAGCAGAUGACUUCUAGUAGUGUACCUCAGCCUGUAGCUCUAGCCAGGGUUCAGGACAGUGGUUGAGACAGGAGGAGAGAGUUCUCCUAUUCUUUGGUCGGUUCCCGAGGGAAGAUUCGUUAGCUUUAGUUUGGAUCUUCAUCCUGACUCAGUAGGAGGCUAA